UCAUAUAUUGACAUUCUGCUUGAUCUAGAAGAAACAGAUGCCAGCUUUACAGAGGAACGGAUGCGUGGAGAAGUAAAUACAAUUAUACUUGCAGGCCAAGAAACAAUAGCCACCACGUUGUUCUUUUGUUUCUUAACGAUAGGAGACCAUAAAGACGUGCAAGAAAAAAUGGUAAAAGAAAUAAAACAAGUAAUGGGUGAAGAGAAGUGCGAUGUCACAAAAGAACACUUGUCAAUGAUGCCGUAUUGUGAGGCUGUAAUAAAUGAAACCAUGCGGCUAUAUCCUGCAGCUCCUGGCGUUAUGCGAUACGCAGACCGUGACGUUAAACUUGGAAAAAGAUAUGCGAUUCCAGUGUUAAAGACGAUCUUGAUUCACUGCAUUCGUGAUUAUGAGAUCAUAGCUGAACGAAAUGAGAAUUUAGAGUUCAAAGUGGAUGUUGCCUUAAAAACAAUAAAUGGUCAUUUGAUACAAGUGAA